ensembl:lncRNA
UGCAGCUGGCAGGUCAGCGGCUGCUUUUGGUCUUCAGGCACUCCAGGGAUGGCUGGCAGCAGACUGAAAGGACAGAGCAGGAGGGGUCCGCCUGAGUGGGUGAUGGUUUUGGGGCCGCGUCCUGCAAGCCGGAGCCAGGACCCUUGGCUGCAACGCAGCCUUCCCCACAGACAGCUCAGCGGCUGCCCCGUGGCUCUCCCCCGUGGGAUCCAGAGAGGGGCCAGCCCUGUGAGCUGGGGGGCUCCUGGCGUCCCCAUCCCAGCACUGUUGGGCAGCCAGAAACAGGGACCCUUUGGGGCUAGGGAAUGGGCUCUCGUUGGCUCAGUCAAUCACCCCCAUGCACAUGCCAAGCCAGAGCCUCCAGCCUCACCUGGACGUAGAGCUCUCCUUGCGCAGUAAGCUCCUUAUCCUUCGGAGUUUUCCUCCAUCUAGACUGUCCGAGCUCAAGCGUUUGAUUGACGGUGGCUUUGGGAAAGCGGAGCUGGGUGGUGACGAUGAGCUGACAGGGUGACUUUUGGGGACCAUAUCCUUUUGUUGGGGGAGGGCGGGGCCUAAGGUGCCGAGGUGCUCCUGCCAUAGCCAGGGAUGGGGGCACGUCACAGCCAGCGCCUUGGUUUUGGAGAGGCCAACAAUUCCUCGUGGGAAGAGGCCGUGCUGAG